rnacentral:pre_miRNA from 1 species
AAUAAAUCAAUAUUUCACUUUUUACCUAUAAUAUUUGACUCUUCGUCUUAUUUAAUUUUUUUACGAUUAACAUUUUUGUUUUUAUUAGGUGAUAAAUCAUGAAUAGUACUCUACAUGUGACUAAUUUUUUUCAAUUUCUUAAAUUUUUUUAAAUAAGGCGGAUGGUCAAACGCUAGGUACGGAAACCAAAAGUUUAGUUUAUU